UCACAACCGAGAGAGAGAGAGAGAGAGAGAGAAAAACCAAUGAAUGUCGUCAUCUUCGAAAUUCUUAGACGUCUGUGUUGGUGUUUAUUUUUUAUUUAUUUUUUUUUCGUACUCGUUUUCAAAAUAUUUGAAUUGAAUUUAUUGCGAAAACGAAAAUUCUGUAUUCGGGCGUAAUUUCAAUUCAGUGCAGUGCAGACAACAACAGACGAAACAAGAAUAUCAUCCGGAAAUUCAUAUUUGCCAUUAUAUAUGCAUAGUUUUUUUUUCGUCUGACACAUAAUUAUUAUUAUACCCACACUUUUGUGUGUAUGUGUGUGUGUGUAUGCUGGCUGACUCAUUUAAAAUAUCAUUGCUCGAACCAAGAAUCUAAAUUAAGCACAAGACACAAGACAAAUUCAUCCAUCAGAUCAAAAAAAAACUUGGAUUGAAGAAAAAAAAUCAAAAAACGAAAUUUUAUAAAAUUCUGUAAAAUCGACUGAUUCAAACGAAAUCAUUUGCCAAAAAAAAAACAACAACAACAACUGCAGAAGCAGCAUUAAUUCCUGCAUAUUUGUAUUUGAAACCAAAAAAGAAAGAAAACUUGGCUAGACUAAAUUUCAUAAUGAUGAUAAUCUGCCAUAGCCACCCCCCAAAAUCCUUUAAAUCCGAAUCAUCAUCAUCAUCAUCGUUUUGUUUGUGUUUAUGAUUAUGAUGAUGUUGUAGAUCACAUGUGUGUUAAUUUAUGACCAAAUGAAUUUAUUUUUUAUUCAUCAUCAUCAUCAACAUGAUCAUCAACAAUGAGAAUAUUAUUAUGACAAUCGAUUAGCGCAUUCAUAAUUUGUUAUUUGAUAACAUUUGAAAAAUUCAUUCAUCCAUCCAUCCAUCCACCCACUCAUUCAUUCAUUCAUUCUAUUCCAUUUUAUUGCCCAAUCCACUCCCCCCUCAAAAUAGAUGUAUGGUUGGAUGGGUUAUCACCAUUUAUUUUUGGACAACUAGUGUGUGCAGAAGCUACAAAGCUGCUUGAUGAUCUUAUCGUACAAAAAUAAAAAAAGAUUCUCAUUUUGGCUGACAUUCAUUCAACCCUUUUCAAGAAAACAAAAAUGAAGAUUGGUGCCCAAAAAAUUGUGAAAUAAAUUGAUCAAUGGAUUGAAAAGAUGUCCGAUUAUUGACAUUUCGUCGAGGAAAAGAAAAAGAUAAAGAAAAAAAAGGGUUCUCAUCAAUCAAAAUGGUUUAACUGCUUUAAUUAUUAUCAUCAUCGUCAUUAUAAAUUCACCUAUCAACAGGUUGUUGCCAACUAUCUCUCUCUUUUGAAUAUUUUAUCGUUUUUUUUCGCGAUUCCAUGUAUGAUGAUGACAACACCGGGAUUCUCUCAACUACUCAAUCUGGGAAUUAAUAUGAAAUGAUGAUGAUGAUGAUUGUCGUUUAACGUUUACACGUUGUCGUGUAUUAUUAGAACCAGUUGACUACAAAUCCAGAACUACAUUUACCUGUGUACUACUACACCAUGUAUUAUGUACGUCAAGCACCUUGUUUGUUUCGAGGAAAAAAAAAGAAGAAAAAAAGAUUAAAAAGAAAACUUGUCGAUAAUCAAUGUUUGAGUUCA